rnacentral:lncRNA from 1 species
CUGUGGUGGCGGGGUUUGGGGGGCGUGUGGCACAUUCCUGGUGUCAGGGGCUGCAGGGGCUCGGCUCUCCCGGGCCCAGGAGACAGGUGAAACCCUCAGUUUGUUGGGUAGCGAAGGCAGGUAGCUCAGGAAGCAGAGUUCACGCUUGUCUCAAGCAGCCACCUGCCGCCCUGGGGACCUGGAGCAGUGGCCCAGGAGGUUGUGGUUACUGAGAGUACCGAUGCUGAUCCAUCUGAUCUGAGCCUUUUCUCUGAACAACUUCCAUAGGACAGUGCAGGACCUGCAGAGUUGUGGCUUUUUGGCAUUAUCCUGGACUUGAAGAGCUUGCUUUUCUCCCAAAUUUCUGAAAAUUUUGGUCUUGU